rnacentral:lncRNA from 1 species
CAAACCCCAAAAAUUAAUGUAAUUAAAAAAAUAACCCGACAUCUUACGGGUCAAAUUAAUAAUUACAAUAAGUCUAGGGAUAACUCUUGCGGAUAAUGCCUACAAAAUCCAUAAAAUAAAGAUUAACUCAAAACUUAAAAGAAAUAAAUAAAAUAAAUAGAAAAAGAAAAAUAAAACUACCUAAUUUCUUUUCCUUUUUCUUUCUUUUGUUUUUUUUCUAAAACCUUGCUCGUGGAUCUUCAGGGGCAGCAAGUCGUCGGUCCGGCAAGGGGAACUCCGGCGAGGUAAAUUCCGGCGGCAGCAAACGGCAG